UCCUGUGCCGGAGCUAACGCAUUAAGUGACCCGCCUGGGGAGUACGGCCGCAAGGCUAAAACUCAAAGGAAUUGACGGGGACCCGCACAAGCGGUGGAUUAUGUGGAUUAAUUCGAUGCAACGCGAAAAACCUUACCUACCCUUGACAUGCCAGGAACCUCGCAGAGAUGUGAGGGUGCCCGAAAGGGAACCUGGACACAGGUGCUGCAUGGCUGUCGUCAGCUCGUGUCGUGAGAUGUUGGGUUAAGUCCCGCAACGAGCGCAACCCUUGCCAUUAGUUGCUACAUUUAGUUGAGCACUCUAAUGGGACUGCCGGUGACAAACCGGAGGAAGGUGGGGAUGACGUGUCGUUACCUUA
rnacentral:misc_RNA from 1 species